GACGAACGCUGGCGGCGUGCUUAACACAUGCAAGUCGAGCGGUAAGGCCCUUUCGGGGGUACACGAGCGGCGAACGGGUGAGUAACACGUGGGUGACCUGCCCUCAGCUCUGGGAUAAGCCUGGGAAACCGGGUCUAAUACCGGAUAUGACUCCAUGACGCAUGUUGUGGGGUGGAAAGCCUUGUGCGGCUGAGGAUGGGCCCGCGGCCUAUCAGCUUGUUGGUGGGGGAUGGCCUACCAAGGCGACGACGGGUAGCCGGCCUGAGAGGGCGACCGGCCACACUGGGACUGAGACACGGCCCAGACUCCUACGGGAGGCAGCAGUGGGGAAUAUUGGACAAUGGGCGAAAGCCUGAUCCAGCGACGCCGCGUGUGUGAAGAAGGCCUGCGGGUUGUAAAGCACUUUCGA
rnacentral:rRNA from 1 species